rnacentral:rRNA from 1 species
AGGACGAACGCUGGCGGCGUGCUUAACACAUGCAAGUCGAGCGAGGCUCCUCCUUCGGGAGGAUGCCCUAGCGGCGAACGGGUGAGUAACACGUGGGCAACCUGCCCCUAGCACUGGGAUAACCCCGGGAAACCGGGGCUAAUACCGGAUACGACUUCGGAAGGCAUCUUCUGAAGUGGAAAAGGUUACUGGCUAGGGAUGGGCCCGCGGCCUAUCAGCUUGUUGGUGGGGUAAUGGCCCACCAAGGCGACGACGGGUAGCCGGCCUGAGAGGGCGACCGGCCACACUGGGACUGAGACACGGCCCAGACUCCUACGGGAGGCAGCAGUGGGGAAUAUUGCACAAUGGGCGAAAGCCUGAUGCAGCGACGCCGCGUGAGGGAUGACGGCCUUCGGGUUGUAAACCUCUUUCAGCAGGGACGAAGCGAAAGUGACGGUACCUGCAGAAGAAGCACCGGCCAACUACGCGCCAGCAGCCGC